rnacentral:rRNA from 1 species
CCCUUAGACGUUCUGGGCCGCACGCGCGCUACACUGACGAAGGCAACGAGCUUUCCUUUACCGAAAGGUACGGGUAAUCUUUUGAAACUUCGUCGUGCUGGGGAUAGAUCCUUGCAAUUAUUGAUCUUAAGCGAGGAAUUCCUAGUAAGCGCAAGUCAUCAACUUGCGUUGAUUACGUCCCUGCCCUUUGUACACACCGCCCGUCGCUACUACCGAUUGAAUGGUUUAGUGAGGCCUUCGGAUCCGCGACUCGUUUUGUGGAGAAGUUGGACAAACUCAGUCAUUUAGAGGAAGUAAAAGUCGUAACA